rnacentral:rRNA from 1 species
AUUGAACGCUGGCGGCAGGCUUAACACAUGCAAGUCGAACGAGUGGCGGACGGGUGAGUAAUACUUGGGAAUGUAGCUUAUGGAGGGGGAUAACUACGGGAAACUGUAGCUAAUACCGCAUACCAUAGGAUGAGCCCAAGUGGGAUUAGGUAGUUGGUGGGGUAAAGGCUCACCAAGGCGACGAUCUCUAGCUGGUCUGAGAGGAUGACCAGCCACACUGGGACUGAGACACGGCCCAGACUCCUACGGGAGGCAGCAGUGGGGAAUAUUGCGCAAUGGGGGAAACCUGAUGCAGCCAUGCCGCGUGAAUGAAGAAGGCCUUAGGGUUGUAAAGUUCUUUCGGUCGCGAGGCGUUACCUACAGAAGAAGCACCGGCUAACUCCGUGCCAGCCGCCGCGGUAAUAC